CAAUAGCGUAUAUUAAAGUUGUUGCGGUAAAAAAGCUCGUAGUAGGAUUUCUACCGAAGAUAGCCGGUCGGGUCUUCGACCUUGUAUCUGGUUUUGUCUUUGGUAUCCUCAUAGGGAACGUUUCUGCGCUUUAUUGCGUGGUGCGGUAUCUAUGACUUUUACUUUGAGGAAAUUAGAGUGUUCACGGCAGGCAAACGCCUUGAAUAUAUUAGCAUGGAAUAAUAACAUAGGAUCUUCGUCCUAUUUUGUUGGUUUCUAGGGCUAAGAUAAUGAUUAAUAGGGAUAAUUGGGGGCAUCUGUAUCAACGCGUCAGAGGUGGAAUUCUUGGAUUGCGUUGCGACAAACUACUGCGAAAGCAUUUGCCAAGGAUGUUUUCAUUGA
rnacentral:rRNA from 1 species